CAAACUGAUUCAUACUGUAAUUCCUUCCCACACGUCCCCUGGUCGUCCUCCUCUUGGCAGUCAGCUGGCAGUUCAGUUUUAGUGAGUUUCUGCGGUUUGGUUGAUGCUCUCGCUCGGAAACCGGAUCAGCACUACAGUCCAGCUGAUCGCCGGAUCAAUGACUCUGAUCAGAGUGUGUUUACCUGGAAGUUCCCCACCAUGAUGAGCCCAGCAGCACAGAUCCAUGCGGUGGAGAGGCCGGCCGUGUUGAGGACACAGUUCUGGUGCUUCUCGAUCACGUGGGCGUAACGCAGCAGGCCGAUCAGCAUCACUGACAGAUGGGGGGGAGAGAGAGGACGACAUGUUUCAUCACGGGUUUGUGCACACACCACAGACUGUCUCACCUGUCGAGGGUUCAGGCGUCUUCCUGCUUUCUGACACGACCCCACGGCCCAGAAUCCAUUUGGAUCCACUGGAGGUGGGAGUGAGUCAGCGUUUCGAAGGUCAUAAGUAAGUGUCCAGGCAGCUUCAGUUUACUGUGACCCAAAAACCUCCGCCCCCCUGCACAUCCACGUGUCCACUCCCCCAAGACUGAUGGACUGGUCUGAAGUGGAGACCAGGAGCCUCACUGAUGCCGUCCGCCGUGAACGCACGCUACAGAAACACGCCAGCGGAGAAAGUGCUCUUUUUCCUUUCAGGGUUUUCCCAGGUUUCCCUCUGGGCGUCUGUGAGUAUUUAUUCACAAUCGGUGACUGAGUUUUGUGGCACAUUAACAGGAACAGAACGAGCCUCUGCACCGACCAUGUUUUUGUCUCUCUGGUUUGGCCUCAGUCUACACUGAGCUGGUGUUUUUCAGACCCAGGAACUGAGCUUAAAUCAAUACUGAACCCAGACUCCCUGUUUCAGUGUAGACGAGAGGAACAAGCUUUUGGAAAAUGAUGCAAACCACUGUUUUAUGCUUCAUCUGACGACAGAGAGAAUGACUAAAAUGGACGACUGGAGGUGCGUUAGCUGACCUGAAGCACUAAUGUGGACAUUGGACUCACUCUGACAAACAAACAUUGUGGUGUUCGCAAAGUCAGCGAGAUGCUAACUUUACAGUCCUCCACCCAAAACCAAAGAAAGAUUAGUUUAAACCAACAUUAAGAGCUUUUUAGCUAGAAACAAGCUUUAAACCUUUACUUAAACCUGCGAGAACUGAUUUUUUUUUUGGGCCAAGUCGAAAACAACUGACAAACCACCUUUUAAAGUGGACACAUUUUUGCUUAUUUACACAUUCGGUAUCACACGAUGUCAUAUGACCAACUGUUGUGAAAGCCCUGAUUAAAAAGUUUGAAGAAUUUUGCAUUUGUUGAUAACCGUUUGUGUGUGAGUGUGUGUGUGUGUGUGUGUGUGUGUGUGAGUGUGUGUGCUGUACCAGUUGUGCACGGGGCAGACGUGCUGGUUGUACAAGGCCAUCGCAUAUCUGUGAAGUUAAAGCAGAGAAGAAUCAGAGAACAGGACAGUCAGUUGAACAACAACAUGAUGCAAACAUUUGAGCCUUAAGACUUUAAUGUGGCCUGAACGAAAACUUUCACACAACAGCCACACCACCAAAACAUGUUUAUUAGAGUUUAGAAGAAACUAAACAAGCUGCACGAUGACAGAAGUCUGUUUCACCCACUGAAAUGGAGGACCUGAAAGCAUCGUGGACACGCGGUGAGAUGAACGCCAGUCCAGGCUUUAAACUACGGCAGAUUUUUUCACUGAGAAACCCGAGCGCCACAUGAAUUACCACAGCGCUGCCUUCACUGACCGAGGCCGCUCGUCUACGUCACGCGUGUGCGCAGAAGCUGCUGGCUGUAUUUUAA